UUACCAUCAAUCAAGAAAGUACAUAUAAUAAUUUUAUUUUUAAAAUAAAUUGAACAUAUAUCUUUAUUGAAAUAAAAAUUAUAGUUAUCCUGUGCCAGCAUAAAUAUAAAAAUUAAAUUUUUAUUGACUAUAGGUACAUAAUAGCGAUCUUUCAAAAUUAAACUAAUCCCUAAUGAUAAUCACAGAGGGUAGGUCCCGAUGUCUAUAAUAGCAAUCCUUGCUCCAUU
rnacentral:lncRNA from 1 species